UACGGAGGGUGCAAACGUUGCUCGGAAUUAUUGGGCGUAAAGCGCACGUAGGCGGCCGACUAAGUCGGGUGUGAAAGCCCAGGGCUCAACCCUGGAAGUGCACUCGAAACUGGUCGGCUUGAAUAUGGAAGAGGGUUGCGGAAUUCCCGGUGUAGAGGUGAAAUUCGUAGAUAUCGAGAGGAACACCGGUGGCGAAGGCGGCCUUCUGGACAGUGACUGACGCUGAGACGCGAAAGCGUGGGGAGCAAACAGG
rnacentral:rRNA from 1 species